UUCAGCAGCCAUAUCACCCUACAGCCCAAGACUGGUUGCCCACUGAAGCUAAGCAGGGUUGAGCCUGGUCAGUCCCUGGAUGGGAGACCUCCUGGGAAAACUAGGUUGCUGCUGGAA
rnacentral:rRNA from 1 species